rnacentral:rRNA from 1 species
AUUGAACGCUGGCGGCAGGCCUAACACAUGCAAGUCGAGCGAGCGGCGGACGGGUGAGUAAUGUAUGGGGACUGCCCGAUCGAGGGGGAUAACUACUGGAAACGGUGGCUAAUACCGCAUACUAUCGGAUAACCCAUAUGGGAUUAGCUAGUAGGUGGGGUAAAGGCUCACCUAGGCGACGAUCUCUAGCUGUUCUGAGAGGAUGAUCAGCAACACUGGGACUAAGACACGACCCAGACGCCCAGGGAGGCAGCAGUGGGGAAUAGUGCACAAGGGGCGCAAGCCUGAUGCAGCCAUGCCGCGUGUAUGAAGAAGGCCUUAGGGUUGUAAAGUACUUUCAGCGGGGAGGCGUUACCCGCAGAAGAAGCACCGGCUAACGCCGUGCCAGCAGCAGCGGUAAUAC